ACAGCUAGGAAUUCUGGGUAAACACACUCUUCCGGAAUCUCUCGUGACCUGUCGAGCGGCUUUCCUGCGGCGGUUUGCUUGUGCGUCACGAGCGUCACGAACUCACCUGCGGCGCCAUGGCAACAUCAACAACAACCACAACAAGGUGCCGCUUUCCCGGGAGAUCCUGAGGAAUGUGUUUGUAGAGUACGCGGUCGUCAUGGCGACCGAGGCCGUCCCCGCGGGAAACCUCUUACCUGCCGCGGCACACCUGCGCGAGCGUCGUCAUGGAGAUGCGCCAGUGUUUGGCCGGAAGCAGAGCGGCUUUCUCUUUCAUCCUCUGAGCUGAGCGUCUGACGCGCUCCAGAUGACGCUCCGCGGCGCGUUACACACGCGGAACUUCACACAUUCAGGAAGCACACAAGGUCAACAUCAAACAUUAAAGUCAAAAACACAUUGUCUUCUGUCAGAAUCGUAUCUUUGGGCUCAGAUGACACACAAAGCAGAACAGUAGUGAGAUCUGCUUCUGGGAUACAGCACCACAGAGAUACAGUAAUAUUCACCAUAAACUCUGCUGUCACUACACUACUGUAAAGUGAUCUUACAGAAGAAGAAGAGCACUAGAAGAGAAGAGUUCAAAACCACACAACAGACUAUACAGUAAACACAGUCAGUCAGUUACUGUAAAUACAGUAAUACAGCAUCCUCUGCUGAGUUACGGUACAGUACUGUUAAUAUCCUUAUCCUUUAUAUUAUAAAAGACUCUUUCUGCCUCCUCUAGACAGCUGUGUCUCAGUUCUGCACAAAUACAUGUCCGAAGUGCUUGAGUUUGAGGAUGUGUGCUACGGUAUUUCCAGCUGCUCACACAGAAUCUUCACUUGUCACACAGUUCCUGGAUUUGUGUGAGUUUUGAAUAAAAGAUGUAGAGUGCGAUCAUCUGAAAUAAAGCUGAGAUGUUCUCAGACG